CAACAAGUCCUUAAAUCUUUCCCAAGCUUCAUACAAGCUCUCUUGAUCAUGAUGAGCAAAUGUCAUUAUCUCAUUGCGCAGCUU
rnacentral:snoRNA from 1 species